UCCAGACUCCUACGGGAGGCAGCAGUGGGGGAUAUUGCACAAUGGGGGGAACCCUGAUGCAGCGACGCCGCGUGGGUGAAGAAGCGCCUCGGCGCGUAAAGCCCUGUCAGCAGGGAAGAAAAUGACGGUACCUGAAGAAGAAGCCCCGGCUAACUACGUGCCAGCAGCCGCGGUAAUACGUAGGGGGCAAGCGUUAUCCGGAUUUAUUGGGUUUAAAGGGUGCGCAGGCGGAUUUUUAAGUCAGCGGUCAAAUCGUGGGGCUCAACCCCAUCCAGCCGUUGAAACUGGGGAUCUAGAGUGUGCGAGAGGUACGCGGAAUGCGUGGUGUAGCGGUGAAAUGCAUAGAUAUCACGCAGAACCCCGAUUGCGAAGGCAGCAUACCGGUGCACAACUGACGCUCAGGCACGAAAGCGUGGGUAUCGAACAGGAUUAGAUACCCCCGUAAA
rnacentral:rRNA from 1 species